UGAAACCUGGUGGCUCAACCAUACAGACUAUUAUUCAAACUGUUAAACUCGAGAGUGGUAGAGGUAACUGGAAUUUCUAGUGUAGGAGUGAAAUCCGUAGAUAUUAGAAGGAACACCAAUGGCGUAGGCAGGUUACUGGACCAUUUCUGACGCUAAGGCACGAAAGCGUGGGGAGCGAACUGGAUUAGAUACCCAGGUAGUCCACGCCGUAAACGAUGGAUACUAGCUGUUGGAGGUAUCGACCCCUUCAGUAGCGAAGCUAACGCGUUAAGUAUCCCGCCUGUGGAGUACGGCCGCAAGGCUAAAACAUAAAGGAAUUGACGGGGACCCGCACAAGCGGUGGAUCGUGUUCUUUAAUUCGAUGCUAAACGAAGAACCUUACCAGGGCUUGACAUCCAGGGAAUUUUUGGGAAACCAAUUAGUGCCUUUUGGAACCCUGUGACAGGUGAUGCAUGGCCGUCGUCAGCUCGUGUCGUGAGAUGUUUGGUUAAGUCCAUCAACGAGCGCAACCCUUGCAACUAGUUGGAUUUUUCUAGUUGGACUGCUUCGGUAACGGAGAGGAAGGAGGGGAUGAUGUCAGGUCAGUAUUUCCCUUACGUCCUGGGCUAGAAACACGAUACAAUGGCUAGUACAAUGCGCAGCAAAGCCGCGAGGUGGAGCAAAUCGCAUCAAAGCUAGUCCCAGUUCGGAUUGGAGGCUGAAACUCGCCUCCAUGAAGUCGGAAUCGCUAGUAAUCGCAGGUCAGCAAACUGCGGUGAAUACGUUCCCGGGUCUUGUACACACCGCCCGUCAAGCCAUGAAAGUGACCAACACCCGAAGUCCGAUUCGUCGGCCUAAGGUGGGGGGCAUGAUUGGGGUUAAGUCGUAACAAGGUAUCCGUACCGGAAGGUGCGGAUG
rnacentral:rRNA from 1 species